CUAUAACACUCACCUCAUGGCCCAAGAUUCCAUUCCUUGGAAUCUGUGAGGCCAAGAACCCCAGGUCAGAGAACACAAGCCUUGCCACCAUCUUGGAAGCAGCCCACCACCAUCUUGGAAGCGGCCCACCACCAUCUUGGGAGCUCUGGGAGCAAGGACCCCCCAGUAACAGUAAUGCUUAUUAAGUGUGGCUAUCUUGAGAUUUUAGGACUGACAUGUCAUUACAGCUGUCUUACUUCAGAUUGGCACACUCCACUAACACUUGAAGUAAGCAAUAUGAAAUGUUUAAGUAAUUUUGUAUUGAUGUGAAGAUCUUUGAGGACAAAGGAGAUGCCCUGAAUGACAACACAUCCAUAGCCCACUCCCCGUGUCCUAGGCAAGCCCAGCUGUUAAGAUCCCCUAAAAGUCUGCUCCAGUGAUUGACGCUUAGUGUGGAUUAUGGACACUGUCUCCCACUUGCAGAUAGGAAGUCUGGGAUAGACACGUCAGGGCUAGGGCAGCAGUGCCAUCCUGGAGAAGGCGCUCCUGUGACUUCCCAUUCAGGACCUGGUACAAGUUGGCAUUUG
rnacentral:lncRNA from 1 species